UCUCCAGACUCCUACGGGAGGCAGCAGUGGGGGAUAUUGCACAAUGGGGGAAACCCUGAUGCAGCGACGCCGCGUGAGUGAAGAAGUAUUUCGGUAUGUAAAGCUCUAUCAGCAGGGACGAAAAUGACGGUACCUGAGUAGGAAGCCCCGGCUAACUACGUGCCAGCAGCCGCGGUAAUACGUAGGGGGCAAGCGUUAUCCGGAUUUACUGGGUGUAAAGGGAGCGUAGACGGCUGUGCAAGCCAGAUGUGAAAGCCCGGGGCUCAACCCCGGGACUGCAUUUGGAACUGUGUGGCUGGAGUGUCGGAGAGGCAGGCGGAAUUCCUAGUGUAGCGGUGAAAUGCGUAGAUAUUAGGAGGAACACCAGUGGCGAAGGCGGCUUACUGGACUGUAACUGACGUUGAGGCUCGAAAGCGUGGGGAGCAAACAGGAUUAGAUACCCCGGUA
rnacentral:rRNA from 1 species